UUAACACAAGCGUUUCUUUUCAUCCUUUGCCUCCAAUUAGUUCUCUUUUUUUUCAAUUGAAAGAACCUAGAUCUCAUCUCUCUACGGUCAAAAGUAACCUGGAACCCUUGAUUGUGAGACAAUGUGACCAUCGGUUUCUAAGGUUUUUGUAUUGAUUCUUGAAGGAGUCAUCGGAACUGGCGGCACUUGAAGCAUCCAAAGGAUUCGAGAGACGAUAAUGUUCCCUGUUUCAAAUCUUUUUGAGGUGCUCAGUUUUUUCUGUCGACAAGGUGGUUGUGGCGUUUGAUUUAUAGGGUUAGGGUUUUCCAGAAUUGGGCUGACGGGAGAUCCGGGCACUCCAAAUAAGUGAGACAGGCAAGAGUAAGACAGCCAAAAAUAUCCUUUUUUGUACCUUUUUUAUGUAUUAUUUUUAGUUCCCACUCACUUGAUAAUAAUGGAUUUAACUUUAUUUGUUAAUUUAAUUUUUGUAAUAGUGUCAUGAAGGAACCAACUUCGGGCGUACUACUGGUGGCCCGUUUAUUGCUACAAGCUAUGACUAUCAUGCUUCUCCUAAUGAGUUAACGUUAUUUAAAUAUCAACCAUUUACGUUUUCAUGAGUGUUUGUUGUUCUUAGCUAGCAUAUGUCUUUACUUUUGAGUUUCAAAGUGCUGUGAUAAAUUAAGCGAAUAGCCAGCCAUCAACUAACUACUACUUUCUUGGACAGUUAAUGAUGUUGUUGGAGAUGUGUAUUGUUUCAAUUAUGAUGACUAAAUAAUGUAAUAUCAAAUCUAAUAAUUUUGAUAUGGUGUAAAAAGUUGAUAAAAAGGUUAGGGUUUAUGUUUUAGCUUUUCUUCUUCUUGGUUGUAGUCUCGAAGGGCCUAAGUUAUUGUUCUGCCUCAUCUCUCUUCUAAAUAUGUAUUUAAGUGCUGAAAACUAUUUGCCGCAUGUAAGCUUUUUGGGUAUAUGUAUAAGCCUCUCAAUUUUAAUAGCUAUAUGUAUAAGCUAGAAGAUGUUCUCAUAACUUGAUUACGUGUAACUAUAGGUGAGCUACUUCCGUACCAGCUUGAAGGAUUGAAUUUCUUGCGUUUCUCAUGGUCUAAAGUCUAAACAAACACAUGUGAUACUUGCAGACGAAAUGGGUCUUGGGACAACCUUAAGCUUUUGGAAGUAAAGCCCUAGCCCUAGGAUCCAAAUAUUCUUAGAUCUACACUACGUUAGGGUUAAUACAUCAAAUUUUCAAUUGAUUUGAAAUCUUGGCCAAUCUUUCAUUAACAGGUAUGUAGAAUUAAAUGCGUGAUAAGUAUAGGGGAGAAAGGCUAAGGGGUUUAUACUUUCUAGUUGUUUUUUGUUGUCACUCGCUUAGAAAAAGUAUUUUGAUUGUUGCUGCUCCUAAUUUGAGUUGGUAAUGGCUGUGAAUUGUUGUUAUUUGCUUGAAAUGCCUUUUUUAUUUUUCUUGGUUGUAUUUGGUUUCAGAACAGAAGCUUUGGGAUGAAUUUGUAUAUUGGUAAUGAUGUAAUUAAUAUGCAUGACAGAUUUUGUGCACUUGGCAAAGCACGCUAGGUGGUUGAUGCCAUGCCGAAGAGAGAUGCUUUCAAUUUUAUAUACGCCAGCAAGAUCAUGUGUAACGAUAAAGUUGUUAAGUUGUUAAGCAUACACAAUUAAGGAAGUGUGUAGAAUUUGAUUAAUUUUUUGUUUCUUAUAAGUAUAUAUAAUCUUUUUGUUAAUACUUAGGAGUUUUGUGGAAGAGUGAAAGGUAUAAAGGUGGAUAUUGUGGACAUAACAAGUGCUCAAGAUGUGUUUCUAGCUGGAGUAUCUUCAAAACAGUAGUGCAUUAAAACAAUAUGUUCCAAUCCUUAAGAUGGUCUAUACUCAUUCUGUCCUUUAAAGUUUUCAGGAUGAUACGGUCCAAGAAUAUUCAGAUGCACCUUUAAGACAUUCUCCAACUCAUGUGCUUGUGACGUCCAUAGUUGUAAAUCCCGACUAGCGCCUAGCGAUUCUUACAACACUGGUGGCAUCUAAAGUCUCUUUUCUACUUGGUUACCAUCUUGGGUCAGUAAAUGAACUACUUGAAAGUAUGUCUACACAUGUACUUGGUUUAGAUGAGAUUAACAUGGCAGAAGGUGUUAAAGUUAAAACUAAGCUUUGGCUACGUAUUGAAGAGGACUAUCAAAGGACAAAAGCUGAGCUAGAAGUUAUGCAGAAAGAUUGAUUUUGACAGCUAACAAGCAAACUUUGAAGCUAAGAUACAAAUUACUAUGAAAAAGCUAUGUAUUGGAGUACUUCAUGAUCUUAGAGAUGAGUAGAAUGUUCAUUGUAAUCGUACUUGAUAACUAUAUUUAUGAUCCAUUGUUAUUUUGAGUUUGGACAUAUGUAACAUUACAAUAUGAGAUUAUAUAAUAUAUUUAUGUUAUUAUU
rnacentral:lncRNA from 1 species